rnacentral:rRNA from 1 species
UACCUGGGAAGAUAAUACGGUACAGGAGCCUAAGCCCCGGCUAACUUCGUGCCAGCAGCCGCGUGUAAUACGAACGGGGCUAGCGUUGUUCGGAAUCACUGGGCGUAAAGCGCACGUAGGCGGAUCUUUAAGUAAGACGGUGAAAGCCUGGAGCUCAACUCCAGAACUGCCUUUGAUAACUGGGGAUCUCGAGUCCGGGAGAGGUGAGUGGAACUGCGAGUGUAGAGGUGAAAUUCGUAGAUAUUCGCAAGAACACCAGUGGCGAAAGCGGCUCACUGGACCGGUAACUGACGCUGAGGUGCGAAAGCGUGGGUGAGCAAACAGGAUUAGAUACCCUGAUAAGUCCACGCCGUAAACGAUGGAUGCCAGCCGUUGGACAGCUCUAGCUAGUACAGUGGCGCAGUUAACGCUUUAAGAAUCCCGACUGUGGAGUCGGUCGCAAGAUAUAAAAUCAAAGGAAUUGACGGAGGACCGUACAAAGCGGAGGAGCAUGUAGUUUAAUUCGAAUC